CUGGCGGCGUGCCUAAUACAUGCAAGUCGAACGCACUCUCAUUUAGAUUGAAGGAGCUUGCUCCUGAUUGAUAAACAUUUGAGUGAGUGGCGGACGGGUGAGUAACACGUGGGUAACCUGCCCUAAAGUGGGGGAUAACAUUUGGAAACAGAUGCUAAUACCGCAUAAAACCUAACACCGCAUGGUGUAGGGUUGAAAGAUGGUUUCGGCUAUCACUUUAGGAUGGACCCGCGGUGCAUUAGUUAGUUGGUGAGGUAAAGGCUCACCAAGACCGUGAUGCAUAGCCGACCUGAGAGGGUAAUCGGCCACACUGGGACUGAGACACGGCCCAGACUCCUACGGGAGGCAGCAGUAGGGAAUCUUCCACAAUGGACGAAAGUCUGAUGGAGCAACGCCGCGUGAGUGAAGAAGGUUUUCGGAUCGUAAAACUCUGUUGUUGGAGAAGAAUGUAUCUGAUAGUAACUGAUCAGGUAGUGACGGUAUCCAACCAGAAAGCCACGGCUAACUACGUG
rnacentral:rRNA from 1 species